CCGAGACCCGCGUGGCAGCAGCGGUGCCCAGCGUGGGGAGCGGAGGGAGCGCGCAGGCUCCUCGGGGCGGUCCUCGAGCCUGACUGGAGCCCGGGUCCUGGCCCAAACUCAGCCGGCCCUGAGGGGUUGAGGGACCGGGACCGCGGAGCGCGACCGCCCCGGGCGCCUCCUCCCCGGCCGGCACCGCGAGGCGCUCUCCGCGCCAGUUCUGCCCCGGGCCCCGCCGCGCUCUCCCGACCCGCCCUCCGCUUCCCAGGACCUUGCUGAGCCCGGCGCACUGCGCGGGAGGGCGCGACAGUGCUGCCCCAGCUGUGCCCGGGACAUCGCCUGCGCCCCGAGCCCCGGUCGCCGGGGUGGUGCGCCCGCGCUCGGUGCCACGUCGGAACUGCCCGGAGCGCGCGGUGAUGGCGCGGGACCCUCCUCCCGGGUCCCGGCGAGCGGAGGAGGGCGGAGCGGGCCCGGGCCGCUGAGCCCCUGGGUCCCCGCCGCGAGGCGCCGGGCUGCUCAGCAUCCUCCCCUCCGCGGGAGCCGGGCAGGGGCACACGCGUCGCCCUCCAGUGGGGGCUCCUGGCCGGCGAGCAGCCCCGAGGACGCUGCGCGGGAGGCCCGUCCGGGAGCGCACACGAGGGCACCCAGCGCUACGGCGGUCGGAGGGGCCGCCCGGCCUCCGGUCUAUGGGAAAGCUCCACUGCGGUGCACCCGGCUUGGUGCGGAGCCUGCGCCGACAGCGUGUGAGGCGCUCGGGCUUCCGCGCGUAACCCCCGGGCGCGGCGGAGCCUACCUUGCUCAGCUGUGCAUGCAGCCGUCCUCAGCUGCCUGCGCGGCCCGGCGGGGCGGGAGCAGUGUCCAGGGCCGAGGUGAUGGAGCUCAGAUGGACUUGAGACGGUCGGCCAGAAAGCAGAGGAAAUUUACAAACAACAUUUAAAAAGUAGGGGCGAGUCUCAGUGUUUGGUUCUCCACCCAGCAAGAGAUUUGACUAAUGUUCUCUUUCUUAUUUCCGUUCCACUUCGGUCUUCUGGUGCUUUUAAAAAUUUAUCUGUGCUUUAAAAAUAAAUUAACUUUUUUGCUCCAGUCCUGUCCGUGAUAACGGCAGAGAGAGAGCGAGAGGGAGAGGGAGGGAGGGGCGAGCCGAGGGCAGAGCGGGGAAAGUCUUCGGCUGGGCCGGUCCAGUCCCGGGCUCAGGGGGCUGCGAGGCCCGGCCGGCUGAAGCCUCCGGACGCCGGCCGCUCGCUCCGUCCGCGCCCGCCGCGUGAGGGUCCUGGGCGGCCGGUGGGGUGGAGAUUGCUUGGCUCCGACGAUUGCCAACCUGUGAGACCCCAGAGGCUUCGAAGCUUCGAGCUUCCAGCCUGGAGCAGCGUUGUGCAGUGCUGUGUCUUAGUACCCUGCGAGAGUCCCGAUGCUCAUGGCUCAAGCAACGAGGACACUCAAUUACAGGGAAACUGUCACAUGCAAAAAAGAGUUCUAGCAGCAAGAACAGGAAUAUGAGCAGCGGUCCUGUCACGCGAAGUAUGACUACAGGAAAGAGUAGGACUGUGAACAGCACGGACUUCCCAACUCCUCUUCGCCUUGCAUGUUCAGACCUUGGAAACAAUCAUUCCAAACUUUGAUUCUAUGAAUUGGACUAUUUAAAAAUGCAUCAUUUAAGUGUAAUCAUGCAGUUGA
ensembl:lncRNA